rnacentral:rRNA from 1 species
UACGUAGGGGGCAAGCGUUGUCCGGAUUUAUUGGGCGUAAAGAGCGUGUAGGCGGCUUGUUAGGUCCGCUGUGAAAACUCGAGGCUCAACCUCGAGAUGUCGGCGGAAACCACUUGGCUAGAGUCCGGAAGAGGAGAGUGGAAUUCCUGGUGUAGCGGUGAAAUGCGCAGAUAUCAGGAAGAACACCAAUGGCGAAAGCAGCUCUCUGGGACGGUACUGACGCUGAGACGCGAAAGCGUGGGGAGCGAACAGG